rnacentral:rRNA from 1 species
CCUACGGGGGGCAGCAGUGGGGGAUAUUGCACAAUGGGGGAAACCCUGAUGCAGCGACGCCGCGUGAGGGAUGAAGUAUCUCGGUAUGUAAAGCUCUAUCAGCAGGGAAGAAAAUGACGGUACCUGACUAAGAAGCCCCGGCUAACUACGUGCCAGCAGCCGCGGUAAUACGUAGGGGGCAAGCGUUAUCCGGAUUUACUGGGUGUAAAGGGAGCGUAGGCGGCGGUGCAAGGCAGAAGUGAAAGCCCGGGGCUCAACCCCGGGACUGCUUUUGAAACUGUGCUGCUAGAGUGUCGGAGAGGCAGGCGGAAUUCCUAGUGUAGCGGUGAAAUGCGUAGAUAUUAGGAGGAACACCAGUGGCGAAGGCGGCCUGCUGGACGAUGACUGACGUUGAGGCUCGAAAGCGUGGGGAGCAAACAGGAUUAGAUACCCGUGUAGUC